UUUUUUUCCCGUUUCUCUCUGCUUUUAUCAAUGUUUCCUUUUCAGAGCAAAAUAUGCUGUGAAUUCCAUCAAGAAGAAAGUCAAUGACAAGAACCCACACGUCGCCUUGUAUGCCCUGGAGGUCAUGGAAUCUGUGGUAAAGAACUGUGGCCAGACAGUUCAUGAUGAGGUGGCCAACAAGCAGACCAUGGAGGAGCUGAAGGACCUGCUGAAGAGACAAGUGGAGGUAAACGUCCGUAACAAGAUCCUGUACCUGAUCCAGGCCUGGGCGCAUGCCUUCCGGAACGAGCCCAAGUACAAGGUGGUCCAGGACACCUACCAGAUCAUGAAGGUGGAGGGGCACGUCUUUCCAGAGUUCAAAGAGAGCGAUGCCAUGUUUGCUGCCGAGAGAGCCCCAGACUGGGUGGACGCUGAGGAAUGCCACCGCUGCAGGGUGCAGUUCGGGGUGAUGACCCGUAAGGUGAGUUCCCACCUGGGGGGCUCUACAGCCCCGGCCAGACACCAGGUCCCCUGCCGUGCACAAGGCCACCGUCCCUGCUGGGCCUUUC
rnacentral:sRNA from 1 species